UCACGGUUUACACCGGCAGUUUCGUUAGAGUCCCCGGCAUUACCCGCUGGCAACUAACGAUAAGGGUUGCGCUCGUUAUGGGACUUAACCCGACACCUCACGGCACGAGCUGACGACAACCAUGCAGCACCUUGCAAGUUGUCCGAAGAAAGACCAGUUUCCCAGUCUGUCAACCUGCAUUCAAGCCCAGGUAAGGUUCCUCGCGUAUCAUCGAAUUAAACCACAUGUUCCUCCGCUUGUGCGGGCCCCCGUCAAUUCCUUUGAGUUUCAAUCUUGCGAUCGUACUCCCCAGGUGGAUCACUUAAUGCUUUCGCUCAGCCGCUGACAAUAUAUCGCCAACAGCGAGUGAUCAUCGUUUACAGCGUGGGCUAC
rnacentral:misc_RNA from 1 species